UACAAGUUAAAUAAUUACUCUAAUGCACAUAUAAAACGUGAGAGGAAAUCUGUACGUAUCUGUACUUGGUACGGCCUCUGUGUCCAGACAGGAAACCUCUAUCGCCAGUCAAAACAUGCUCGUCCCACUCCGACUUCAUCGCUCACCGCCGACCAUCAUCACUCCAUCUCAAGAAAUUCUUCAAUCCACCACAUCUCUCUCUCUCUCUCUCUCUCUCGCGCGCGCGCGCACACACACACACACACAAACACACACACACACACAAACACGCUUAUCUAUUAUGUACCUGUCUGCGUAAAUAUACUGUCUGAAUUUUUGCUUAAGGGAAGUCAAUUGCUGAUUUCAUUUGUGGGCUGUGAUGAUGAUGUAAUGGUUUUAGAGUAGACUCUUUUUUCUUUUUUGCUUAUGAUCAUGUAGUUUAUGUUGAUGGGAUGUGCUUUAUUAUUUGAACUGAUUGUUCAAUUUUCAUUUUGCGGUUUCAAUUUUUGGUUAAUUUACUGAGUUGAGAUGAUAAAGAAUUCGUCUUGCUGAGUUCUGGAUGUUUGUGGAUUUUCAGCUGCUUUUUAUUUAGCAUUUGCAAUUCGGUAGAAUAUCAAGAAUUGAUGCAUGGAAUAGAAAUUGGAUUUCAUUGAAAUUAAGCUUUCUAUUGAAUGAUUGGGAUCUUACCGCAUGCAGGCUAUUGUAGUGAUUCUCAAGUUAAACAUUCACAUUUUCAGGAUAUUCAUGCUUUUAGUUGAACAUUCAGUUUGGAUUUAGGGAAAAUCUUUGUCCGGAUCAGGUUUGUUGAACCAAACUAAUUUCAAAGUAUGUGUAUCACACUUACUCUGUGAUUGAUCAUUUUUUCUGAACUAUACACGUAUCACGCUACAAGUAUAUUGCACUUGCUAGAAGAUUGGUUUAAGUUCGACCAAGUUAGGUGCUGGUUAGAAUUUCCUUGAAUUGUAGGAGGGAUAUAGUUCACUUGAAUAGAAACUGUUUGUGCUAUAUUUUUUCAGUAUAAACUUGAUUGUGUUCUCCUUCCUGUAAAAGUAUGCUGACCGGCAGGAGCUUUUAUCAAAAAAUAAAGAUGUUAGUGUCGAUCAACUGCUGCUGAUAUUUGGUUUGGUUCCAAAGGCUUUGCUCUGAUUGGUUUCUUGUUUGAAAACUUGGACGUGUAAGUCGACCGUAAGGAAAGAACCUUCAGCAAAGCCUAAUGGCACUCCUCAGCCAGUAGAUGUUAGCAAGCAGGUUGCUGCAGGCAUUCAUAGUAGCACAGCAAGCAACAUCCAGAGUUGGUCAAAGUACUUGCAAUUUCAUCACGGACCAACCAUCAAUAAAGGUCCAUGCCGCCCCGGAGGAGGUUCUUUGGUUUACCUGUUUGGUGGUGAUAGCAAUUAAGACAUCUGGGGAACUGAUGAUGAAGUGUUUUUUGUGAGUUGAUGUAAAACCUCAAAUGAUAUGGUCGUCAAAUGCUUUUACCGUUGUGUUUAUGGUCGUCAAAGACUUAAUAUAUGUAUUCUCAAAUGCAAGGGUUGCUGUCUGAAGAUAUGACAAACUUUUGGAUGCAAAAACAUCAAUCAAAAGGAUCAAUUCAUUUUUAAAACAACAAAGUAAUGUUCUCCGUUGUAUCUUAUGCUUUUCUAAGUUUUAUGCUUGAAGAUGGCGUAGUUAUGCAGUAAUACCACUUCUGUGCCUGCACAAACCACCCAACCACUGAAAGCUUUUCAAGUUAAGGCUUGUGUAAGGGCAAAGGUUAACUAAUCGAGUUGGAAACGAAGCACUAAAGAGUAUUCCAAACAAAAAGACGGAGGACAACAAUCUGAGUAGGGCAAAAUGUCAAUUCACUGAAUAUUAUGUUGUAAAAUUACCAGUAGAAUGGAUAAAAGGACUUACAUAUAGACGAGCUUUCUGCUACUAAGCUAGAAGCAAUCUUCUCAACAUAAAUGUACUAUCUUUAUACAAGAAAAGUUUUUGUUUUAUUUUAAUUUCAACUGAAAAGCAAGGACAUACCAGGAUGGAGUGCAACCAACGCAUUAUCAAUCUCAGGUGGCAGUUUGUUGCGGGGGAGGAGCAGGGAUGAUUCCCCAUCUUCGACGAACAUCUUCCAA